GACGAACGCUGGCGGCGUGCUUAACACAUGCAAGUCGAACGGAAAGGCCCUGCUUUUGUGGGGUUCUCGAGUGGCGAACGGGUGAGGAACACGUGAGUAACCUGCCCUUGACUUUGGGAUAACUUCAGGAAACUGGGGCUAAUACCGUAUAGGAGCUCCUGCUGCAUGGUGGGGGUUGGAAAGUUUCGGCGGGUGGGGAUGGACUCGCGGCUUACCAGCUUGUUGGUGGGGGGGUGGCUGACCAAGGCUUUGAAGGGUAGCCGGCCUGAGAGGGUGACCGGCCACAUUGGGACUGAGAUACGGCCCAGACUCCUACGGGAGGCAGCAGUGGGGAAUAUUGCACAAUGGGCGGAAGCCUGAUGCAGCAACGCCGCGUGCGGGAUGACGGCCUUCGGGUUGUAAACCGCUUUCGCCUGUGACGAAGCGUGAGUGACGGUAAUGGGUAAAGAAGCACCGGCUAACUACGUG
rnacentral:rRNA from 1 species